GACGAACGCUGGCGGCGUGCUUAACACAUGCAAGUCGAGCGGUAAGGCCUUUCGUGUUACACGAGCGGCGAACGGGUGCGUAACACGUGGGUGAUCUUCCCUUCACUUCGACAUAAGCCUGGGAAACUGGGUCUAAUACCGAUAAUGACCUCCUAUCGCAGCUGCGGUGGUGGAAAGAUUUAUCGGUGCAGGAUGGGCCCGCGGCCUAUCAGCUUGUUGGUGGGGUAAUGGCCUACCAAGGCCACGACGGGUAGCCGACCUGAGAGGGUGACCGGCCACACUGGGACUGAGACACGGCCCAGACUCCUACGGGAGGCAGCAGUGGGGAAUAUUGCACAAUGGGCGGAAGCCUGAUGCAGCGACGCCGCGUGCGGGAUGACGGCCUUCGGGUUGUAAACCUCUUUCAGCAGGGACGAAGCGUAAGUGACGGUAACUGGAGAAGAAGCACCGGCUAACUACGUG
rnacentral:rRNA from 1 species